GAAAACCUUUUUAAGUAAUAUUUCAUCAGAUUUUAGCUUCUUGUUAAGGAAACUUAAAAGUCUAUUGAUAAUAAAGUGGUAAUAAGUGGUUUGUCUGGUUCAGAUUGUGAAUAAGACGAUUCCUGCGCUUCUUAAACUAGAAGAAGCAGAAAAAUAUCAGAUUUAUUGGUAUAACUGGGUUUCUUUAGAAAUUUUCACUUAUGUGGUCUUAUGUGCUGGAUAGGAGAAAAUCUUGUGUGGGGCGGGCAUACCAUCCCAUGUGGUAUGCCCACCCCAUCGUGAGUUGACAUGUUUACAAACUCAGUGCUACUAGACGUACAAAAGCAUUCUUUACAAAGUCUUCACAGAAUGACGUGGCAGCUGAGAAUUAAAAAAAGAAAAAGACAAAGCAAACGUCUCCAAUGAUUUCCUUCAUUUUAUUCCCGUCAGCCUCUCCACUUGAAAUUGGGAACCCUAGAAUCACCUUUCCUUCAACCUCUGACUGGCGCCACCAUCCUUCUCAACCUCUGACCGGCGAUUUUAAAUGUGGCCAGAUCUUCAAACGCCGAACGCACACUGAAAUCCGGUCGUUCAUCUUCACCAACGUCCACAAACGCCGCAUUAUUGGUCAACUCAGUCCACAACAACCAGGUAUCUUCACCUUCGUCCACGAACACCAACUGAUUUCCACCGUCGAUGAUAAACUCAGUCCACAGCAACAAUAUUCUCUGUGAAACUUUGUAAUCAAUAUGCAAUUGUUGUGAGAAUCAAACAAAUUCCUUAUUCUCUGUAAAUUAUGAAAAACGUUUUGAAACUUGUUGAAUAUGUAAUUGUUAUGAGAAACUAGUGUAAUUCACUUUUCUCUGUAAAUUGUUGUGGGAAAUUAGUAGAAUGGCAAUCUUACGGUUUCGUUUGAUUCCCGUACAGGAUGAGACGAGAGAAUGUUGGUGUUUGUCAUGGUUGUAGGAGCACAGAGCACUUUUUCAAUGACUAUCCAAUAAAACGAGGAUGUCCAUGGUAUCUACUGGAUGGGAGAAAUGUUUUGAAGUUGAGAGGAAGACUAAUAACGAAGGGCGAUUAUUCAAAACUUGCAGUAAAAUUUGUUAUAUUUCCCUUGGGCCAAGACGGAAGAAUCAUGUGGUGAAUCAAAUACAAGGAAUGAAGCAGUGGAUCCCAAAUUGUGAAAAAAACUUUCUAACGGUCAUUAACUUGCUGUAUUUUAUCAUUUUUCUGCUAUUUCUCUCAAAUUGUGGAGUCCAGUCAACCAUUUUGACACUUGCAAUAUGAAAAAACUUACUAACAGUCAUUAACUUGUAGAUGGAUACUAAAAUUUUGGUUGCUAUUAAUUCUUUGUUGCUUAAAUGGCGUAAAUGGAUACUACAAAUUUUUUUUAUUUGAUUGGGGAUGCCUACACAUUAUGCUCCAAAGUUGCACAAGAAAAAUCGAAGAAAGUGAAGCUGCUCAGUUGGGAAAGGGAUGCCUACACAUUACCUUGUGUGUGUCUGACAACUCAUGAGUGGACUGGAGAAGAGAGUGAAGCUGCUUGGUUGGGAAAUGGAAUCAGCUGCUAGAGUGGUUGGAGAAGAGAAUGUCGGUCGCUCGAACAGCCGAUGCUCAGCUCCGAUGCUCGUGAGGUCGGAGAUGAAGUGGAGCAGCUUAUUUUUCCCUAUUUUCUUUAGGGCUUCCACCUUUUGGGGAUAAUGAAAUGGGCUUUGGCAGGUUAUGAGGUAAAACAAAGAUUUCCCUCUUUUUCUCCUGCCACAUCAUUAUUUUUUGGAAAUUCUGUAGGCAUUCUGUGAGAUAAAAUCUGUGCAUCUAGCUUUUUUCUUUUCUCCUGCCACAUCAUUAUUUUUUGGAAAUUUUG
rnacentral:lncRNA from 1 species